GGGUCAGUAGGUUGGUCGUGCCACCGGUACGUACUGGUCUCACCGAUUCCUCCUUCCUGAAGAACCGUAAUGCCAUUAAUUUGGUGUUGCGGGGAAACAGGACUGUUACUUUGAAAAAAUUAGAGUGUUUAAAGCAAGCUAACGCUUGAAUACAUUAGCAUGGAAUAAUGAAAUAGGACGAUCGAUCCUAUUUUGUUGGUUCCUAGGAUUGACGUA
rnacentral:rRNA from 1 species